AUUGAACGCUGGCGGCAGGCCUAACACAUGCAAGUCGAGCGGAUGAGAGGAGCUUGCUCUUCGAUUCAGCGGCGGACGGGUGAGUAAUGCCUAGGAAUCUGCCUAGUAGUGGGGGACAACGUUUCGAAAGGAACGCUAAUACCGCAUACGUCCUACGGGAGAAAGUGGGGGAUCUUCGGACCUCACGCUAUUAGAUGAGCCUAGGUCGGAUUAGCUAGUUGGUAGGGUAACGGCCUACCAAGGCGACAAUCCGUAACUGGUCUGAGAGGAUGAUCAGUCAAACUGGAACUGAGACACGGUCCAGCCUCCUACGGGAGGCAGCAGUGGGGAAUAUUGGACAAUGGGCGAAAGCCUGAUUCAGCCAUGCCGCGUGUGUGAAGAAGGCCCUCGGGUCGUAAAGCACUUUAAGUUGGGAGGAAGGGCUUACAGCGAAUACCUGUGAGUUUUGACGUUACCGACAGAAUAAGCACCGGCUAACUUCGUGCCAGCAGCCGCGGUAA
rnacentral:rRNA from 1 species